rnacentral:piRNA from 1 species
UCAAGCUUAUUAUCACUUGCCCAACAUUAC